rnacentral:lncRNA from 1 species
GGAAUUGAAUGGCACUCAUGAUGUAGAUCGCGUCAAUACGAGUUCGUAGACACGUAGUAGGCUCAAAUCGGAGUUGUAACGAAAAAGUUAUGAUCAAAGGAAGUGCAGUGGCACAUCCGUAAAUAACUCGAAGUUGGAUUUUUAAAAGGGAAAUAGCUCAAAAUACCACCUAUUUUAUAAUUUUUUGUCAAAAUACCACCCAUUCCCAAAAUUUUUAAAACUACCACCUAUAAAUACAUCUUUAUUGUAAACUGAUUGCACUCAUAUAACUUUUUCAGAAAUUGGGUUCUCUCUCAACUCUCUUGGCUCUGUCUCUCUCUUCAGUCUGUCUCUCUC